rnacentral:lncRNA from 1 species
GUAUGGUUGCUGAAAUUAUUUCAUAUAUGCGAUAUAUGAUUGAUGCAUAGAUUUGAAAUAUUGCUCAUAUGUGUGACAUGUAAAAGAUAAUUAGAUUUAAAUUUUAAUUGAUUAUAUAUGUGAUAUGUUAGAUUAAUCUUCUAGUACCCUAGUAAUCGAAUUGGGAUAAUUACUAUAGCCAUCUGAUCAUAAGAGGAAGAAGGGAUUAAAGUCCUUCUCU